rnacentral:rRNA from 1 species
GACGAACGCUGGCGGCGUGCCUAAUACAUGCAAGUAGAACGCUGAAGGAGGAGCUUGCUUCUCUGGAUGAGUUGCGAACGGGUGAGUAACGCGUAGGUAACCUGCCUGGUAGCGGGGGAUAACUAUUGGAAACGAUAGCUAAUACCGCAUAAGAGUAGAUGUUGCAUGACAUUUGCUUAAAAGGUGCAAUUGCAUCACUACCAGAUGGACCUGCGUUGUAUUAGCUAGUUGGUGGGGUAACGGCUCACCAAGGCGACGAUACAUAGCCGACCUGAGAGGGGGAUCGGCCACACUGGGACUGGGACACGGCCCAGACCCCUACGGGAGGCAGCAGUAGGGAAUCUUCGGCAAUGGACGGAAGUCUGACCGAGCAACCCCGGGUGAGUGAAGAAGGUUUUCGGAUCGUAAAGCUCUGUUGUAAGAGAAGAACGGGUGUGAGGGUGGAAAGUUCACACUGUGACGGUAUUUGACCAGAAAGGAACGGCUAACUACGU